UACGUAGGGUGCAAGCGUUGUCCGGAAUUAUUGGGCGUAAAGAGCUCGUAGGCGGUUUGUCGCGUCUGCUGUGAAAACUCGGGGCUUAACCCCGGGCCUGCAGUGGGUACGGGCAGACUAGAGUGCGGUAGGGGAGACUGGAAUUCCUGGUGUAGCGGUGAAAUGCGCAGAUAUCAGGAGGAACACCAGCGGCGAAGGCGGCACUCUGGGCUGGAACUGACGCUGAGGAGCGAAAGCGUGGGGAGCGAACAGG
rnacentral:rRNA from 1 species